UCCGAUUUAUCAUCGGCAGUUUCUCUAGAGUACCCAGCAUAACCUGAUGGUAACUAAAGAUGAGGGUUGCGCUCGUUGCGGGACUUAACCCAAUAUCUCACGACACGAGCUGACGACAGCCAUGCAACACCUGUGUGUGGUCCAGCCGAACUGAAGGACUCCAUCUCUGGAAUCCGCGACCACCAUGUCAAAGGCUGGUAAGGUUUUUCGCGUUGCUUCGAAUUAAACCACAUACUCCACCGCUUGUGCGAGCCCCCGUCAAUUCCUUUGAGUUUUAAUCUUGCGACCGUACUCCCCAGGCGGAAUGCUUAUCAAGUUAUCUUCGACACCGGGAAACCCCGAUAUCUAGCAUUCAUCGUUUACAGCGUGGACUAC
rnacentral:misc_RNA from 1 species